GUAUACAUACCUUGUGGCACGCAGAGAGAAUUUCAAGAUAGUGGAUCCUGCGAACGCUGCUACAUUCAGGAAAAGGAAUGCUGAAGAAGGAAGCGACGCAAAAGUUUGCAGAAUCGUUUUAUGAUAAUAAAGCGAUAAAAGAACUUUUUCUACAAACAACGUUUUUAAAUAAACAUUCUUGUUUUUAUUGUAAAAGUUAUACAUUGAAAAAACUUCUACUUCUAUCGUUAUAAAAAUAUAUUAAGCAAAACUGAAUAAAAGAUAAAAGAAAUAUUGGUAACUAUGAACUUUGCUUAUCGAUGCCGUAUGUACGGAAGAAUCGCACCCUGAAGGGUAAAGAAAGAAAAAA